rnacentral:rRNA from 1 species
CACGUAGGGGGCGAGCGUUGUCCGGAUUUAUUGGGCGUAAAGAGCUCGUAGGCGGUUCGCUAAGUCGGGUGUGAAACCUCCAGGCUCAACCUGGAGACGCCACCUGAUACUGGUGUGACUAGAGUCCGGUAGGGGAGUGUGGAACUCCUGGUGUAGCGGGUGAAAUGCGCAGAUAUCAGGAAGAACACCAGCGGCGAAGGCGGCACUCUGGGGCCGGUACUGACGCUGAGGAGCGAAAGCGUGGGUAGCAAACAGG